UUUAUGGAGAGUUUGAUCCUGGCUCAGAGUGAACGCUGGCGGCGUGCCUAAUACAUGCAAGUCGAACGAUGAAGCUUCUAGCUUGCUAGAGUGCUGAUUAGUGGCGCACGGGUGAGUAACGCAUAGGUUAUGUACCUCUUAGUUUGGGAUAGCCAUUGGAAACGAUGAUUAAUACCAGAUACUCCCUACGGGGGAAAGAUUUAUCGCUAAGAGAUCAGCCUAUGUCCUAUCAGCUUGUUGGUAAGGUAAUGGCUUACCAAGGCUAUGACGGGUAUCCGGCCUGAGAGGGUGAACGGACACACUGGAACUGAGACACGGUCCAGACUCCUACGGGAGGCAGCAGUAGGGAAUAUUGCUCAAUGGGGGAAACCCUGAAGCAGCAACGCCGCGUGGAGGAUGAAGGUUUUAGGAUUGUAAACUCCUUUUGUUAGAGAAGAUAAUGACGGUAUCUAACGAAUAAGCACCGGCUAACUCCGUGCCAGCAGCCGCGGUAAUACGGAGGGUGCAAGCGUUACUCGGAAUCACUGGGCGUAAAGAGCGCGUAGGCGGGAUAGUCAGUCAGGUGUGAAAUCCUAUGGCUUAACCAUAGAACUGCAUUUGAAACUACUAUUCUAGAGUGUGGGAGAGGUAGGUGGAAUUCUUGGUGUAGGGGUAAAAUCCGUAGAGAUCAAGAGGAAUACUCAUUGCGAAGGCGACCUGCUGGAACAUUACUGACGCUGAUUGCGCGAAAGCGUGGGGAGCAAACAGGAUUAGAUACCCUGGUAGUCCACGCCCUAAACGAUGGAUGCUAGUUGUUGGAGGGCUUAGUCUCUCCAGUAAUGCAGCUAACGCAUUAAGCAUCCCGCCUGGGGAGUACGGUCGCAAGAUUAAAACUCAAAGGAAUAGACGGGGACCCGCACAAGCGGUGGAGCAUGUGGUUUAAUUCGAAGAUACACGAAGAACCUUACCUAGGCUUGACAUUGAGAGAAUCCGCUAGAAAUAGUGGAGUGUCUGGCUUGCUAGACCUUGAAAACAGGUGCUGCACGGCUGUCGUCAGCUCGUGUCGUGAGAUGUUGGGUUAAGUCCCGCAACGAGCGCAACCCCCUUUCUUAGUUGCUAACAGGUCAUGCUGAGAACUCUAAGGAUACUGCCUCCGUAAGGAGGAGGAAGGUGGGGACGACGUCAAGUCAUCAUGGCCCUUACGCCUAGGGCUACACACGUGCUACAAUGGGGUGCACAAAGAGAAGCAAUACUGCGAAGUGGAGCCAAUCUUCAAAACACCUCUCAGUUCGGAUUGUAGGCUGCAACUCGCCUGCAUGAAGCUGGAAUCGCUAGUAAUCGCAAAUCAGCCAUGUUGCGGUGAAUACGUUCCCGGGUCUUGUACUCACCGCCCGUCACACCAUGGGAGUUGUGUUUGCCUUAAGUCAGGAUGCUAAAUUGGCUACUGCCCACGGCACACACAGCGACUGGGGUGAAGUCGUAACAAGGUAACCGUAGGUGAACCUGCGGUUGGAUCACCUCCUUUCUAGA
rnacentral:rRNA from 1 species